rnacentral:rRNA from 1 species
AGUGAACGCUGGCGGUAGGCCUAACACAUGCAAGUCGAACGGCAGCACAGUAAGAGCUUGCUCUUACGGGUGGCGAGUGGCGGACGGGUGAGGAAUACAUCGGAAUCUACUUUUUCGUGGGGGAUAACGUAGGGAAACUUACGCUAAUACCGCAUGCGACCUACGGGUGAAAGUAGGGGAUCUUCGGACCUUGCGCGAUUGAAUGAGCCGAUGUCGGAUUAGCUAGUUGGCGGGGUAAAGGCCCACCAAGGCGACGAUCCGUAGCUGGUCUGAGAGGAUGAUCAGCCACACUGGAACUGAGACACGGUCCAGACUCCUACGGGAGGCAGCAGUGGGGAAUAUUGGACAAUGGGCGCAAGCCUGAUCCAGCCAUACCGCGUGGGUGAAGAAGGCCUUCGGGUUGUAAAGCCCUUUUGUUGGGAAAGAAAAGCAGCAGGUUAAUACCCCGCUGUUCUGACGGUACCCAAAGAAUAAGCACCGGCUAACUUCGUG